CCUACGGGAGGCAGCAGUGGGGAAUAUUGCACAAUGGGGGAAACCCUGAUGCAGCGACGCCGCGUGAGGGAAGAAGGAUCUCGGGAUGGAAAGCUCCAUUAGUAGGGAAGAAAAUGACGGUACCUGACUAAGAAGCUCCGGCUAACUACGUGCCAGCAGCCGCGGUAAUACGGAGGGGGCAAGCGUUAUCCGGAUUUACUGGGUGUAAAGGGAGCGUAGACGGCGCGGCAAGUCUGAAGUGAAAGGCAGGGGCUUAACCCCUGAACUGCUUUGGAAACUGCCAUGCUAGAGUGCUGGAGAGGUAAGUGGAAUUCGUAGUGUAGCGGUGAAAUGCGUAGAUAUUAGGAGGAACACCAGUGGCGAAGGCGGCUUACUGGACAGUAACUGACGUUGAGGCUCGAAAGCGUGGGGAGCAAACAGGAUUAGAUACCCGAGUAGUC
rnacentral:rRNA from 1 species